rnacentral:lncRNA from 1 species
GCCCACACUUGUAACCGACAGGGCGAUCAGCAAGGUUGCAACGCUUAGGGAUAGUACUAGCAAUUUGAGGGUUAACACCAGACAUUUUAGCAACGUUUGAGAGCAAAACAGCACAAAGACAACUUGGAUUCUGACCAAGUUUCUUAACCUGAGCACAAGGAAUUAGCUUAAAAGCUUCAUUGUCUAUCAAUUUUGUAACAUGGAAAACUUGUGCUGUAGUGACGAAGUAUUGGAUGGCUAGUUUCUUUCUCCAACCAAACAACAGAAUCACAAUAUGAAACUAUAGUUAUAUACAUAUUUCUUUGCAUUUUCAUGUACAGAAUAACGGUAUAAGUUUUAUGGUAAAGGAAUAUGUAUCAUCAGCUACCUUAAUGUGGCUGAAGCUAGCUUUUAAAUUAAGGGGUAAAGCCCUAUUUUUAGUGCUUUCCCCUUUAUGUAAUUUUCAUUUCAUAUGUAAUGACUGAAGAAAGUGGGAGCCUUGGCGCAGUCGGUAAAGUUGUUGUCGGAUUCAAAUCUUGGAAACAAUCUCUUGUGUAAAGGACAGAGUAAGGUUGCGUACUAUAUACGAAUUGGGGGACCCCUUCUCACGCCCUGCGUAUGAGGGAACUUUAAAAAUUAUCUAAUUUAUCUCAUUGCUAUAUAUUCUUAAAUCUUUUUUUAGCUACACACAUUCACGGGUUGUAGAUGAUGAAGUACUACUAAGAAUAAUAAAAUAUUCUUGAAGAGUGUCAAAAGUUAUAGAUUCAUGAACCAUCUUUAUUACACUUCAUGAAAGCAAACAAAUUUCCACACAAUGCUACCAGUUAGAAAACUCUUCAAAGGUGUAGUGUGGUCCACGAUCUAUGAAGCAUAACUAUCUAGAAACAUGUACAAAACAGCUGGUUAACUAACUUGUCCACUCAAUUUCUUAUCCUAAGUUUCUAGAAUUCAAGCCUAUGUUUAUUUAAUUACUAUGUCCAAAACUUGUCCUCUCCUUCCACUUUCUCUUACACACCAAAUGUCAUUCUUUUUUAAUGUUAUUGAUGCAAAGUAUCUAUCAAUUUUGUCAAUGACUAAUCUCCAUCAGAAAAUCUGAACAAUCAUCUUUAAUGAGAUCUCUCCUCCUAACCAUUUAUUUUUCUAUCCACAAGACUUCGCUUAAAGGAUCCGAGUUCAAUCCCCACUCAAACAAUGUAGUGUAUUUUUUAACAAGUUUUACAUCAACAACGAUAUUCAAAAUCCGAUUUUUGUGAGAUCUAAAUUAAAUCCAUACCAACUAUAUUAAAUAGUAAUUGAAAUAUAAUGUAAAAGCAUCCACUAACUUUUUUUGGCAGGCACAUAAAAUAAAACACUGAAAGUGAAACUGUUUUAUUCAUGAGGGUGUACACAAGUGAGCUGCUAGCUCUUAUCCACACUAUAAACAAACAAGAAAGUUACAAUACAACACAACUAAGUUGUGGUGACCAUAAUAGUAGCUAACAGCAUCAAUGCAUAUCCCAUUUAUGUUUGUUUUCAUCAACAACCUCAACUCUUUCAAGGGAGAGUGUAAGCUGCAAAGUUCAUGAUUUUACAAGUAGAAUUAGCAUAUUAAUGUACCAAGAAAAAAGACAUAUAAUUAAAACAGAUAUUAGCAGCAUACUUACAUGACAUUUUUAAGGCGUAAAUAUGUUUCUAGUUCUUUUUUUUAGCUAAAGCCCACACAUUUUAAAUAUGGAGAAGUGGGGUGUCUGAGGUUCGAAUCUCAGCCCCUGCAUAAAAUAUGCAAUAUCCCUACCGAUUGAGCUAAGCUCACGGGGAUAUAUAUUUCUAGUUCUAUAAAAGAAGGUAGACUUUUAGCAAUAUUUUAUUUUUACUUUUGAAAGAAUUAUUUAUCUUUCUAUUUUCUAUAAUACUCUUAACUAUUUAUAGUUUUAUUUCACUUAAAUAGUUAAAAUCAUUACUGAAAAAACAAUAAUUAAUAUCUUGCAUUGAGCUUUGAAAACAAUAAAUAAAUACGAACAAUUUUUUUUACAAAAACGACAGAGAGUAGUUAGUAACUUACGUCCACACUUGUAACCAACGGGACGAUCAGCAAGGUUGCAACGCUUAGGGAUAGUAACAGCAAUUUGAGGGUUAGCACCAGACAUUUUAGCAACGUUUGAAAGCAUAACAGCACAAAGACAACUUGGAUUCUGACCAAGUUUCUUAACCUGAGCACAACAACUUUGUGAGACACUAGCAUUUUCAUCUUUUGCUGCACUUGCACAAGGAAUAAGCUUAAAAGCUUCAUUAUCUGGUGUAGUACCCCUUCCACAUUCACCAGCACUUUCAACUCUAUGAGUUCCUGCAACAAGGACUGCAAUACCAACAAUGCACAGCAAUUUCAUAAGACCCUCCAUUUUUUUUUCUUAAUAUGCGUCUAAAUCACUUAGUGAAAUUAAUUAGUUCUAUGCAACAACCCCAUGCAUUUGGUGGGAUUUUAUAGUACUAAAAAUGUGGUUGGUCUAGUCAUCCACUUAGAUUAAUGGAGCUUGCACUAGUUCUAAUAGGUGAGUUUUUACUAUAUCUUAUUGCACCAUUAGUAAUAAAAAAAAUUGUGUAGACACAAAUUUGUUAAUUAUGUUGUCCAAUAUCAAGGUCGGUGAGAAUUGUGUUUAUUUUCAUAUUUGUAGGUGUAACCAUUUUUUGCAGUAUGUAAAUUAAGGGACUAUGUAAGGGUGACACCUCAUUCUCAAGCAAAUGAUUCAUUGCCCUUUUUGAAAGCUUAGGAACAACUUUUAAGCCAACUACCACAGAACACUAGCUCACACACACUUAGCUCAAUGAUACCCCUAAACUAGGAGUGCUUAUGUAGACUCUAUUAUGGCCCUACUUUGAUCGUAAUUUAUUGGUUUAAUUCAACUUUUGAAUUGGAUGGGUCGACCGACCCUCGUGCUUGGGGGAUUGUAGACUGAAUGUGACUUCGCCUAUAGGCCCAUCGCUCCCCGUGCCUGGUUGGAGAGAGACGAAGCGCAAGACCCGAACACCUUGAUCGCAUAGCUUGGAGGUUAAUCAUCUAACUGACUAGGGCGAAGAUUGGGGCACUAGGAAGCGCUCGAAUAUCUGGUCACAACUAUAAACUUGAUACUUUAGCAUGGAAGGAUGUAUGCUGCUCUAUGUGUGGGCUUGUGCCCACACAAAUUUUACAACCUUUAUUUUUUUAGUAGUAUAAUGUACCAACCGUUGACAUUUUGAUGAGAUGGCCCACACUUAAUACAAAUCAUUUCUCUUUUGGCACGCACCUAUCAUCAUAUAUCUCAAAUUCUUUCUUGAUAAUACGAAUAUUAUCAAGAAUCAGAUGCGAAAUUUAGUGGGAGAUUACUGGUUAAGUGAUCGUUUAGUUGUUUAUAUAGAAAAAUAUAUUUUUAUUGAUAUUUGAAAAUGAGAAAAUCAUUCAAAGUUUCCAUAAUAUAAAAAAUCAAUUAGAGACAAUUAUUAAUGCUACAACUUUUUAUAUAUGGUGCCCCCACUAUUCAAAUAUCCUAACCCGUCAUUGUAUUUGAGGGACAUGUAGUCCCCAAUUAGUAGAAAAGGUUGUUGAAUCCUAGGAAACAAACCCCAAUCCUUCUCUAUAAAAGGAAGUCUCUAGCCAAACCCUAUUCAUUCACUUUUUACCCUCUAAAUACUCAGAUGGCCCAGUAAUCACUCUUAGCCUACUAGGUCUAGCCUAAAAUUUGUUAGAACCUUUGUUGGGGUUUGGAGCAAGAACUUGACUAAGAAAAUGAUGAAGAUGAACAUGAUGAAGAGUGAACAUAAAUUCCGAAGUUUAUGUGUGACAUACUAACUUUUAGGUUCGAUUCACCCUACCAAUUAAGCUAACCAGAUGCAAAAGGGUAUACUGGCGAAUCCCCUUCAAGAUAAUAUGGGACCCUUGACGUGACAUUCACAUUCACACCAAACGUAUCAAUCAAUGAUUUAAUAUUAUUUUUGGCAGAAUUCUAACUCACAAGAAUGAAAUUUUUGUGUCUUUUUUUGAAUGAUUGUCUGCCUCCAAAGUGUCUCUAUUUAAUAUUUAUAGAAAAACUUAUGCCCUUUUGUUUACAAGUAACAACUCUUCGAAAGAGUUUCUUUAUGAAUAGACACAAUGGUUACAUUGCUUCAAGAAUCAAGCAUUACAUCCUUUCACUGAAAGGUCUCCAUUCAACCAAUGCAACUUUCAAAAUAUAUCUAAAUCCACUAUUUCGGAAAUCUCAUGGUUUCUGAUAAAGGUAUCUCACUAUUUGAACAUUUACUUGGUAAGUAAGUUUUCACUCAUCCCCAAAUAGAAUAAUAUGCAAGCUUUGAACCAACUAUCCAUUAGAACAAAUGUGUAUAACUCACACAUGAAAUCUUGGUACCACUGAUCGAAUUGUAAAAAUGACAUGUUUGUUAAGGUCUUGUGUUGUUAUUCUUUUCAUGAAGAGUCGAGUCAUUGAACUCAACGAAGCGAUCCUCAUUCUCAUAUAGGUAGACUAUAACAUAAAUGCCUCAAAAGUAUGCAUUCCAACAAAUAUAUAGUAUAUGUCUGUUAAGAGAAAAAAAACUCAUCCUAUCCCUUUUCAUCUUAUGGUCCAUGUACUUUUAUCCCAUUGAGACGUAUCUAACGUCAAGUACUUUUUAAUGUUUUUAGAAAAGUAACAAACACACUCUUGGAAGCACAAACCCAUUUUGGCUUUCACUCUCAUAAUUUUGAUAAAUAUUAUGGUAUGAAAGUUGCAAACCACUUUGACUCUUUGAAAGAUAAGAAAUAGAGAGAUUAAAGUGAUAAAUAUGAUAUGUUGAUUACGUGAUUAGAAGAAAGAGAUAAAGAAAAAAAAAUGAGGUGUUAAAUAAAUGUUAAGAUAUUUGGCAUGUUCAAAUAUCAUAACUUUUAAAAAAAAAUUAUAAUAGAUACCCUACCCUAAGACACAAGUGUGUUGUAGAUUUAUUUUUGACUAUGUAAGUAUUAUUCUUUUCAAGUUAAUCAUCAAUUUAGUCUUAAAUUUUUAGAGCUGUAUAUUUUGACCUUUGAAAUUAUGAAAACUUUAAAAUAUCUAUCGAUUUUUUUAAGCUAAAUUAAUCCACCCAAAUUAAUACUGGAGGGAAUUUAACCUGAGACAUUAAGGAGGAAUACACUCUCAAAUUUUAAACCUACCACCAGAUCAAUUCAAGUGGAUUAAAUUAUCUUCCAAAUUGAAAAUCAUUAAACCCUAAAAUUGGGAUUUGGAUCUUCUCAAAUAAUAAUAAUAAUAAUAAUAAAACGCGAUGGUUAUGUGGAAUAUCUCACAGUUAAAAUGUAUUUGGCCCUCCUUAUAAUUUUUAUAAGUUGUAAAUGUCGCAAUGCAUUUUAAUGGUGAAAUUGUUUGUUAAAAAAAAAAAAUGGUGAAAUUUUGCACAUAGCUCUCUCAACUUUUUUUAACAAUUGAGAGAUUCGAAAACCCGAAAAUUGACAUGUGUACAUAGAGAUUAGUUUGAUUGAUGACUUAAGAAUUAAUUUAUUGGUAUUAAUUGUGAACGAUAGUCACACAUCGAGUUUGAGUAAAUUCAAAAUAGGAUAAUAUAUAAGAGAGACGAUCCACAUAUUCAACACCUUAAAGUUUCGGGUGAAGAUGUGGUAUUGUAAUCUCUUGAUAAUCUUAAUUAUUUGGUUCGUUGUUGCUCUCAACGCUCCCCAAACAAGCGGUGUCAAAGGAUUGAUUAUUACAAUUUCUUAAAACUAAGAAGCUUAGCUUGAUGUAUGUACUUAUGAUUCUUGCUUGCAAACUUUUGGUGAAUUUUCUCCUUGAAAAUUGACAAACAAAACCAGCUGAGAAUCAUCCGUGAACAAUGUGAUUACCAUGUGUUUUUGUUUAUGGAGACACACUUAAAUUAUAUCUAGUUUAUGCCAUCACUAUAUAUUCAUUGGUCAUUUUUAGCUACACUUUCACUGGUUGUAGACGAUGCAGUACUUAGAAUAAUGCAAUAUUCUUAAAGAGUGUCAAAGGUUAUAGAUUCACGAACCAUCUUUAUUACAUUCCAUGAAAGCCAACAAAUUUCCACACAAUGUUAAACGUUAAAAAGCCUUUCAAAGAUAAAGUGUGGUCCACACCCUAUGAAGCAUAAUUAUCUAGAAACAUGUACAACACAGUUGGUUAACUAAGGUGCUUGUCCACUCUAUUUCUUAUCUUAGUUUUCUGGAAAUUGAGCCUAUGUUUAUUUAUGUACUAUGUCCAAAAUAUGAUCCAUCCCCUCUAUAUCCUUGGUUGUUGUACAUGCUUGGUUGUUAAGAUUUUCUUCUUGUUUCUUGGUGCAUUGUUAAAAUAUUUAGUAAUGUACUUGGUAGAGAUAUAAGUACUAUAUAUAGUGAUAGAUAUUUGGCAAGUGAACCAAAUUCAAUCGAAGUAAUAAAAAGUUCGUUUCUACGAGGACUGUAUUUAACUUCUACUUAGCAAAUUCAUUUUAAAAAGGAUGUAUAAAUUUAUAUUGGUGCCCUAGGCAGUUGAGUUGAUUUAGUAACAUAAACUGAUUAAAAACAAUAAAGAAUUGGUUUUUAAGAAAAUCGAGAGAAGUAUGGUUAAGUCCUUCGAAUCCUCCAAAGCUCUCCUAUGGUAAUUUGCACUCCUAAAUACGAUCAAUGAUUAUUUAGUUUCACGACGGAUUAACUUAGUAAUUCUACCCAAUCUCUUGCCCUAGAAUUCUCCCCGCAAGUGACAACCCCUUAAUCUCUUAAGUGAAUUCAAAACCAUUGGAGGUAUUAACGAACGUUAAUCCCUAUAUCAUAACCUAAUAAUGAUCUAUCUCUAGCUUGAUUACUUAGGUUAAACCUAUUACCUAAUUCGGAGUUAAAAGCCAGGGUUAGUGGUCAUUCAAUUUCUAUGAUCAAUAUGCAUAUUCACGACGCUAGGAUUAAUAGUCUAUCAUAAACGUACAUAAGGUACUAAGCACAAAGUAAUAUGAAUAAAAACUAAACUUUCAUUAAUGUUCAAAGGAGUUCAACAAAUUAGGGUUCCCAUAGGAUUACAUCAGAUUCAUCUCAGGAAUUAACCACAAAAGAAUUAGUUACUCAUAGCUAAAGUAUAAGCUAACUAACAUAAGAAAAAGGAUUCAUACAAGUGAAGGAUGAUUGACUCUUAGUUUUGAUGGUUUCCCACCAGAUCUCCAAGUCUCUGCUCCAAAAUAUGCCUUUAGGUCUCAAAAUUCGUGAACCCUUCUUCAGAAAACACCUCUUACUAUUUAUAGGCUAAUAAAAAUCGGCCACCGAGCUCCAAAAUCGGUGGCCGAAAUCCUAAACUGCGUGGCCCAAUAGUGUAAAAUCGGCGUCCGAUUUAUGCUUAUCGGCGGCCGAUUUUUGUCGAACUCAAAGUCUGUAAAUUGGCAGCAAAAUCGGUGGCCGAUCUAUCUAAUCGGUGGCCGAUUUCCAAUACUUCAAACUUCAUUUUCUUUGUCUUUUGCGGCUUGCAGCUUCAUGAAUUCCAAUAAAAAACCCCCUAAAAUUACAUGAAAAAUGCCUACUAAAAGAGUAAUGAGAGAAUGUCAUCAUAUAGUUUAGAAAAAAAGUACUAUAGUUCAGCAUAGUUACUAUAGACCAUUUUUGUUGACUAUAGCAUGAGAAAUCUAAUAAUCUUCUGUUUCAAGUAAAAGGGAAUCUAUUUUUAUAUUUUAUCUAUUGUACGUUGUGAACUUGAUCCUUUACAAGUGUUAUAUAGUGCACCAAUUGCUAUCUAACGGUUCUUACGGCUGCUUCAAGGUACAAUAGUUGUAACUUGUAAGAGAUUUGAUUCUUAUAUCUUUAUAUCAUCUCUUUAUUCUUUUUAGAGAAAUGAUAUAUGUACAUCGAUUUUUUGAUAACUUUUUGACAACUUUCUCUCUCAUACUUACAUUAUAUUUUGAAUCUCUCUCUCUCUCUCUCUCUCUCUCUCUCUCUCUUGUUUUGGACUAAUAGGAAGAGAGUAAAUAAAAGUUGUUAUCAAAGUUGUUAGAUAUGGUUAUACAAAUAUCACAACUCUUCUUUUUAUCUUCAUGCUCUUUUAUUUUUUGGACAAACUAGAAUGAUAUAUAUGAACACAUGUGAUUUACCCCGCACAAGACCUGCAAAAGGCAAACCACCCAAGAGUAUUUACAAGAACAAGGUGCUAACCAAAGGGAAGCACCACCAAAACGUCAAAACAGAUAAAAAAAAUUACAAGUGGACUCCCAUACAAAGGAGCAGUUGUUUCCACCUGUAGCUAAAUAUCAUCUGUUUUGAUUUCAGCCAUAAAAAAAAAGUCAGUUUAACCUUUUCAAUGAGAAUAGAAGAAUUAGACGCCAUGUUUUGGAAUACACGGUCAUUCCUCUCAUUCCAAAGAACCCAAACAUAGGCAAACCAAAUGAUCCUGAAGAACGUAUGAGUGAAUCUAGGCACAUCCGCCGUAGUAGUAAAUUGGAUGAAAUGUUGACGGAGAUCACCUUAAGAAACCGAAGAAAUACCCAACCAAUGCCAAACAUGAGACCAAAGAGACUCGAAAAUGUCACAUCCCAAAAACAGGUGUGCUGCUGUUUCGGACUUCCCACAUCCGAACACACACACCGUGUCAUCUUGAGAAAGGACACUCCGCCGCACCAAAUUGUCCUUAGUUGAAAGUCUGUUGCAAAGGAGGCGCCAAAUUAUCUUCAUGCUCUUAUCUUUGCAUGCUGCAAAAUUAGGGGUGGAAGAUGAUCCAAACAUGCAUAAAACUACUUUCUGUAGGAAUUUUGUUAAGAUUAUAUCGUGGCAAUUAAAAAGAGAAUUGAGAAAAAUCAAGAUAAAAGCUUAUCAUUCGAAUAUUAUGACAUAAAUAUAUUAAAUAGGUUUUACUAACAUUCAAAUUAAUAUUUGUAUUAAAUAGUUUUAUUAGCAUUUAAAUAUUUAUAUUAAAUAAAUUUUAUUAGCACAUCAAUUGUAUUUAUUUUAUACAAUAGUAAAGUUAGGCGGUCGUUUAUUUUGUUUUGAAGUACCUAUUUAUUGUACAAAUGAUUUCAUCUAUUUAUAUGAAAAAUCUUUCAAAAAACAUUAUUUAUAUGAAAAACAAAUAAAUGAGAAAAUACAAGUUCUGUUGAAAAUUUGUUCCUCUUUUAUCACUUUACACUAGUUACAAACUUGUGCUUCGCACGAGUUCAAUAACGUAUUCGAUAAAAAAAUUCUUUGAAAGAAGAGAUGUUAAAACGACGGAACAUUAUUGUUAUACCCUGAUUUUGGACCUAAAAAUACUCAUUCAAAUUUCUUUUUCAACACUGAUAUUUGUCAAUUUACUGUUGUUUUACUCUGAAUCUUUACUCUCUUUUCAUUUGCCUAUUUUACUGUCUCUGUCUCAAUGUUCAAUCAUGAUUUUCUUGCGUAAAACUAUCCAAAGUGUCUUUCUUGCAUUACAAGUCAUUUGAAAAACUCUCUGAAUCAUUGCAUUACUUUUCUUGCAUUUUAUUUCAAAAAAUCAUACAAAAAGGGUAUUUUGGUCAUUUCCUGCAUUGGAGCCCAUUUUAAUCUCUGUAACUGUCUCUGAGUCUUUUUAACUUGUCUGUACAAAUUAUUGUUGAAUCUUUGUUUAAAAAAACCAUUUCAAAAAUUGUAUCUGAGUCAGUUUGAGUCAGUUUAGUCCCUAGGGGCAUUUUGGUCUUUUCCUGUCAAAAUUUUGGCAGAGAGGUAUUUUAAAAUACCUCAUUUUUGUAAUUGGUUCGUUUUAGUCCUUUUUGUUGAUUUUAUUUUUGGUUUCACUUUACGUUUUGUCCAAUUUACCAAUUUUAGUCCAAUUUUAUUUUAAUUGCAUUUUAGUCCCUGAAACAGUUUCUAAAAUUGCAUUUUAGUCCAAUACUUUUUAAAAUUGCAUUUUUAGGUCCUUUUUCUUAAUUAUAGUCCAGUCCUUCAAUUUUUCUUUUUUUGCAGAGAGGUCCCUAAGUCCAAAAACAGGUGUCCUUCUCCCAUUGGGUCUCAAGCACACAUGGCAGCCUAUGAAAGGCACAAAUCUGCACAGAUCCACAGAAUCAGUGCCACAUCACCAAAACAGAAUUCCAUUUUUCUCUCUCCAUUCAGUUAGAUCAAAAUUCAGAAAAUCAUCAAGAACAAGCAAAAACCCUAACUUUUCCAGAACCAGAUUCAUCAACAAAUUCAUCAAUUCUCAAAGAUUCAUUGAUGAAUCUUCAUCAUUGAAUUGAUUCCUCUGCAAUUCAAGGUACGAAUUCCUCACCGGAGGCGAGGAACUCCAGCACCGAUCACAGAGAAGAGGAAAGAGAAGAAGAAGGAAAGAAACAAAGAGGAAUCAAACCACAAAAUCACAAUAUUGAAAGUUCGUAGCGAUUCAUAAACACUCAAACCGAACCGGAUCUUGGAGUGAGAACACAAAACCGAAUCGGAAUCAAGCAUAUGGAAGGAGUUCGAAUCAGCAUCUGAAGAGUGACACCAAAUCCGACUCAAACAAAGCUCAAUCGCGCCAGAUCGAAACCAAAUCGAAGUUUUUCGUAGACUAUUAUCUCCAGAUCCUAACAGAUCCAACGGAGGUAACGAUUUCGUUAUCCUUUUUUCGUUUCUCGCGUUUACUAGCUGCAUGUGAUGUGAUUUUGUUUUUUUGAAAAAAUUUGAAUCUGAAUCCUAAAGUGUAGAUCUAGAGAGUUUCGCUUCGAUUUUGAAAAAAAUAAGUUCGGAUUCGUGAUUAACACUAAAAAGGAUAUCUAAAUCUUAAAAAAAAAUCGAAAUCGGAGAAACUUGCUCAACUCCGGCGGCGGCGCCGCCACCCUUGGGCGUCCGGCCACCACGUCGGAGAAGCAAGGUUCCCCAGAGAAGAUGAAGAUCAUCUCCCACCUUUUUCAGAAACUUUUUAGAGAGAAGUGAGAGCUUCUCUCACUAGGAUGAGAGAAGAGAGAGAAAGAAGAGGAGGAAAUGAAAUAAACCGGUCCCCAAUGCCUUUUAUAAACAACUGAAUCGGUCUGGUUUAUUUCCGGUUCUUUCCCUUCCUUUCUGCGCCCUUAGAUCUAGGGUUUGGCAUCUUGGAUCAAUCCAACGGUUCCUGUGCAUCCGGAUCCAGUGGACGUUGGGCUUGGGCCUUUUCCUGCGUUUUCUUGAUUUUCUUGCUAUGCACACCCUGUUUCUUGUUAUGUGAACCCCCUGUUGUCUAAUUUUUUCUUGUAAAAAAAUUCCUAAAAAUUUCUAUGUGUUUCUUGAUGCAUUUUUGAUAUUUUUGUGAUGUUUUUUCAUGUUAAAAAAUGAUAAAAAAAUAUAUGUGAUAUUUUCUUAUUGAUUUGUUCAUUUUUUGACUAAACUUGUGAAUUUUCUUGCCAUAGUUUGUGCAUGAGGUCUUGGCACGAUAUUAAUGAUUGAUAUGCAAUUUCAUGAUGAAUAUGUCUCUGAUCAUAUGUGUGUUUUACCGUUUGUGGAUGUGAAUUUUCAUUUUUUCUUGUUUUGCAAGUAAUGUGUGUUUUUGUCAAAGAAAUAAAGUGCAAAGUAUCUCUAGAAAUAUGUCAUAAUUCUUGGCUUGAAUGUGUUCUUGUUAUUCUCACAUUAUGGUAUAAAAUAAAACCCUUUAAAAUUGCUAUGAUGAGAGAAUUAUAGGUCAUGUACAUGUUUAGGUAUUAUGACAAGUUUUGGGCAUAUUUUACCACUUUAUUACUCUCUUUUUUGCCAUUCAUUCAAUAUCUCCUUACUUGUUUCCUAUCAUUUUAUACCCUAUUCUACUAACCAUUUUAUUUCUUGUUUCAUUCACCUCAUAAGCAUUCUAUCAUUUCAUCUCCAUUUCUUAUAGUUUAGGUCUUUUACUAUUCAUUUCUAUGUUAAAGUUGGCAUGUAAUUUUAGGUAGUUUAAUUUCCCUUUUUUUAAUUUCUUGCAAGACCAUAGAAUGUAAACUAGGGCCAAUGUAACGGACAAUGGACUCUCCAAUGAUGUACACCGACACAAGCACCGACACGCACACACGUUGUAUGUUUACCGCUUUAGAUGUAUGCUUAGGAAACGCGAUACUUAGAAAAAUAUCAAUUUUCCAAAAUAAGUAAAUUCCAUCACUUGAAAAUUUUUCCUAAUAAACCUUGGAGUCAAAACUCCAUUGAAUUUUCCCUUUAUUUUCUUAAGAAAAACUCAAAUGAACUCUAAUUCCAACUUAGACAUUUUUAAUAAUAAUUCAACCAACCAUUCACCAUUUUCUUCUCUCAUGCCUUUACAGUCUCUUUCUCUUCUUCAAAACCCAUUUUAAAAAAAAAACUUAAAAUCAAUCAAACACACCAAAAACAUUUUUGAAAGAGAACUACAUGAAAUUUUGAUCCCUUAAAAGGGUAUGUAGGCAAGAGGUCAAAACCUCUCAAAGUCCAAUAAAAUAAAAUCUCAAACAUUUUCUCCCUCCAUUCUUAACCUAAAUAAACAACUUCUUUUUUCAAUAAAUAGCAUUAAAAAUAAAGCGUAGACAUAAAACUAGGAAAACGGUUCCUAUAGAGUACUAUAGUCGUUGCGGGUGCCUAACACCUUCCCGUAACGAAAACGACCCCCGAACUUAGAAUUUCUAAGGGUUUUCUCAAUUUUGCCCUUCCCAAGAAAAAAUAGAGAAUAUCAAAGAUUGAAAGGUUCAAGCCUAAUUAAUGACUUGAUACCCCAAAAUCGUGAUAACAAUUAUGAUUCAUCAUAAAAUAUGUAUGACCUGAUUUAGAAAGCAUAUAAUCAGUUUAUGAGAUUAGGAAUUGACAUAAUAUUUAGGAUGAAAACUAUUGGAACCAAUAAAUGAAUCAAUGAUGUGUGAAUUUACAUAUUAUCGAAAAUUAUAAAAAAGAGUUUUGUUGUAAUACCCAUAUUUACAUCAAAUGAAAUCAAGCAAAGAAGUAGCAUCAGUGAGUGAAGAUAAUCUAGUCUAGGAUUAAUGUUAAAGUGAUAUGUUGAAAGUGCGGAUCAUGAACACCAAAUCUUUAUUUGGAAACGACUUGAACGUGCAUAUUUUUAGGUGGCUUCUCUAGAUAAAAAAUUAACUUAUCACCUACAUCUAACACAUGUUCUCGUCAAAAUUUGAACCAUUGGCCACCUAAGUAUUUUUUGUAACUUGCUCUCUUUGCCGUUAUCAAGCGACAAUUAUACAUUUUUUGAGCUUGUUAGUCGAUGAGUGUGAUUAUUUUCCGUGUUCCUUUUCAAAAUGUCAUUGAUAUCUCAUUUGAGAAGUGUUAGGUACAAAACAAAUUGCAGUGUUAAUUAGAAGUUAUAUAUAUGUACAUUUCUAAAACAUUUACCAAAGCAUUGUAAAGAUUUACUGUAGGAAAAUAGCAUGUUUUAUUUUUCUCAAGAGAUUAGGAAAACAACAUUACAAUUAACAUGAUACUAAUUGGAACCAAUGAAGGAACCAACAAUGUACAAAUUAACGUUACAUAAUAGUUAGGUUUAUAAAAGAGAUUGCAAGUUUCAUAGACUAACCAAAAAGGAAUUUUUGCCAAUACUUACAUCAGACAAAAUGAAAAGAACAAAUGACAUCCCAAAGUCAAGAUAGUUUACGACUACAGUCCAAAGCGAUACAUCAAAAUAGUAGAAGUUAAAAUAGUUCAACAACAAAGAUCUACUUUGGAACAACUCGAAUUUGCAAGUUCUUCUGUGACUUUUCGAGAUCAAAGAUGAGCUUACCACCUUCUUCCAUCACUCGUUAUCUGCAGAAAUUGAACCACUGCCCACCCAAGUAAAUUUCAUAGCUUACUCUAUCGGCGGUAAUGAGAUGACAGUUAUACUGUCUCUGUGUCUGGUCAUCAAUGAGAGUGAUUGUUUUGCGUUUUCCUUUCAGAAUUGUUCUUGACACCUCGUUUGGGAAAUGCUAAACAGGAAAAUAACUGCAAUAUUAGUCUAAUGCAUAUUUACAUGGAUAAGAUGUAUGCGAAUAUAGUUACAUAUAAUUUAUAAAAUAAAGGUAGCAUGACUGAUUUUAAGCUAAAGAAAAUGUAACAUGACUUCUAAUUUAUCAUCCUAUUAUCUUCAUAUAAAGUCUAGAUAAAUGCAUGCAUGUACAUUAUAUGCACCCCGUUGACCAAUUAACAUUGUUGAAACAAAUGGAAAUUAAGCAUCACUUCCGCAUGUGCAUAUAUAGCUAGCACCAUUUGACAUUGAUGUCUUCGAACAUUUGGUGCAACUCUCAUAAUACAAUCCAAACUGGUUAUGAUUGAAUUUAGUUGUUUUCCAAAUAGUGAUGCAAUAUGUUUUCUAACACAAAUUAUGCACAUGAAAUAAAGAAUAAUGCAAUAUGUAUUUUUAAUUUGUGCGUAAAAAAACUCAAAGCAUGUUUGUGCAUAAAAAAGCAGACAUUGACUAAGUUUAUAAAUUCAGCAAUUGGCCUAACAUGUGACAGUUUGGAAAAAUCGUUGUACGAAGUACGUUGAGAAGAAGUCGAACUCUGACUUAAGUUCUAACUGAAGUUUGACUCUGAGCUUGAGAAGUGUUAAAGUCACGACAACAAUUCAAGAAACAUGGUCAAAAAUCAAUCAAAUCGGAUUGUGAAAUAAUAAGUUACUCUAACACUGUAUUGUGAAAUCAUAAUGCAAACUUACUAAGUCUUAAACUUCUCACAACCGGAUGAUGUAGGUUGAUGACCAACCUCGAACCUGACCAAUUGUUACAUAUAUUUGGGUUGCCAUUGACUACAAAAUGGAAGCAAGGAACUCAAGGUAAAUAGAUGGUAAAUGAUAAAGCUACGGAGUAUUUUUCCCAUAGUGUUACAUCAACUAUAUUCCCACUACAUAAGGAAAGAUAUUUUUCGGGUCAUUAUCAAACUUAUACAAAAUUCUAUCAUCUGAUGUUGACAAAAUAGAAAAUAAUACAUUUUUUAGGCAUCUAUACCUUUUAUGUGUGUGUGUGUGUAUAUAUAUAUAUAUAUAUAUAUAUAUAUAUAACAUAAGCAUAAUUUUUUUAGGCAUCUAUACCUUUUUUGAAGAAAAGACAUCUACAAUUUUACUUUUAAUUAAAAUCAAAAUUUUAUAAAAAUUAUACGCAUUAGCGUAACAAAAAAACAUACACACAUAAAGUAUUACUCUAAACGCUAAUAUGUGUGUUUGUAUAUUUGCGAGGUUGAAGAAAGAAAAUAAAAAUAUUCUGUAUCAUUAAAUGAUAGUGUAAAUAAAAAUAUUUGUGAGGUUGUUAUAAUUAAACGAUAUUUAAAUUAAAUAUAUAAGUGAUAAAAAGAUAAUAAAAUUUCUUUGAAAAAAAGGUAAUAAAAUUAAAUGGAACAUCCUUUAAAAAAUUAAAUGGAACGGCUAAAAAAAAUUAAAUGGAAGAAAAAAACAUAUUGAAAUAUAAUAUUUGAAAAUAAAAGAAAAUGUUCCCAACGUGAAUUGAAGAGAGAUGAUUGUGAAAUAAAUUGUCGAGAAAUAGUUUUUUGAAGUAGCAUUCAACAACUUUUGGUCAAAACUCAUUCCAUUCAAUUUUAUGCAUUAAAAAAAGUACCUUUUUUAGUAAGUACUUAAUUGAUAUUGUACUUGACCUAACUUCUUCUUAAAAAUGUAGAGAAGUUGAAAAAAAAAAAGGGUCAAACGGUAUCUUAAUCUCCCACAACGGCAGUGUAGAAGCAAUUGAAUUUGUGAAAAAAAAUUAGGAAAUAGUUAAAAAUAAAAAAAUUGGAAAAUAGUCAGAAGUUUUUAAAAAUAUGAAAAUUGGAAAAUAGUUAAUAAAAAUCGGUGAGGUAGCACUCAACCAAGCAAUACUAAAAAAAUUUAUAUGCUUUAGCGUAACAAAAAACAGACAGACGAACAUAAAAUAUUACUUUAAACGUUAAUGUGUGUGUGUAUAAAUUCGUGAGGUUGAAGAAAGAAAAUAAAAAUAUUUGGUAUCAUUAAAUGACAGCGUGAAUAAAAAUAUUUGUGAGGUUGUGAUGAUUAAACAAUAUUGAAAUUAAAUAUAUAAGUGAUAAAAAGAUAAUAAAAAUCUUUUGAAAAAAAGAUAAUAAAAUUAAAUGGAACUGUUCAAAAAAAUAAAAUAAAAUAAAAUAAAGUUAAAUGAAAAGAAAAUAUAUUGAAAUAUAAUAUUAAAAAAUAAAAGAAAAGGUUCCCAGCGUGAGUUGAAAAGAGGUACUUGUGAAAUAUAUUGUCGAGAAGUAGUUUUUUAAAGUAGCAUUCAACAACUUUUGGCCAAAGCUCAUUCCAUUCACUACAAGAAACAUUACCUUUUGCCAGGGAUUUUGACAGGGUUUUAAAACCCCUGGUAAAUAUACCACGGAAAAUGCCAAGGACAACCCCUGGGAAAAAGACGUAGGACCCUAUGAAGAAAACCAGGGCCAAACUCGUCGUUUUAUGUAGACAAUCCCUGGUUUUUUUUUGGCGCCACUUUUAAAUUCAAAGUGGGAGACAAGAAUGCAGACUGUCAGCCCAUUGCAGGCCAUAACCCAGGGCUUCUGCGACGGACAGCCCGUCGGACUGACAUGAAUCUCUGCAAAAUGCAGAUGAGUUGACCGGUGCCUGCAAAAAGCUGAUAAAGCUGACGUGUGAGGGGUUUAGGCCGUGGUUUUUUGCAUGAAAUCCCUGGCUUUUUCUCUGAGAAAUAUGACCGUUCUGAGCUACCUAUGCCUAACCUAUGAUUGCAAAAUGAGAGGGGGGAUUCCGUCGUAGUACCCCUGGCUUUUCUCUCUCCCUAUAUAAGCAUGCAUCGGUGCUCUCAUAUGCAGUUAACACUUAGAAAAAAAAAUCAACUCAUUAUAUUAUAUAAACUACUCUUCUCCAGCAGCACUAAACCUCUUAAAUUUGUUAAUACUCUUUUAACUUAUAUUUUCAUGUUUCUAUUUUUUGUUACUACUCCACUAAUAUUUUUAAUUUCAUUUGUAUCAGUGUCAAAGUUAUACCACCUCUUGUGUAGAUCCUUGCUAAGCAGCUUGUUCUCUAGAUCUGUUAUUUGUUAAGUCUCAACAAGUUAUUAGUUUCUCUACUUCAAAAUAUUGUUGUUGUUAUACAUGCUGAUUGUUGUAUAUAUUUUUUUUGAAUUUGUUAUUGUUUUUAAAUAUAUGAUAUUGUUUAUUUUUUUAUGUAUAUGAUGUUAUAAUUAUUUGCAUGGUAGAUCUGUUUUUUUUGUUUCCUGCAAAUCUAUUACGGAUUUUAGGUAAUAAAUUAUUUUUAUGGUAGUGAAAAAUACUGCAAUUAGAGAAAUUUUUUUUAUUAAUUCUGUUAUUUUAAUUUAUGAUUUCGAAUUUUAAAUGCAUGUAUUUACAUAUAAUAUGUAUAUGUUAUUGUUUUUUGGAAAUAUGUUGUUAAAUGAAAUUAUUUGUAGAAAAUAUAUAUGUUUUGAUGGUUAGUAAUAAAUAUGUAUGAUGAUUUUGUUUGGAAGAUAUACAUGUUCAAUAUCUUAUUUUUAGGUAGAUUUGUUUAUUAUACGUAUAUUAAUUUAUAGUUAUAGUAGAAUGUAAAAGAAAAAAAAAGGUCAAACACUAAGCUUUAUAGUAGUGUAUGUGUGAUAUUGCUUUAUUUAUAUGCAUUUAAUUGUGUUUUAAAAAUAAUUUUAUAUUUUUUAAAAUAUAUUUUAUUAAUUAAAAUGAUUUUUGAACCAUUUAAUUGUAUUUGAAAAACAACUUUUAAAAAAUAUCGAAUUUUUAAUUUAUUUAAAUUCAUUUUAUUAAUUAAAACUAUUGUAAAAUUAUUAAUUAAUUAAUAAAAAAUUCGGUUUUAAAAAGAAUACAUUUUUAUUUUAAAAAAUAAUAUACAUUUUGCCAGGGGUUAAACCCCUCGCAAGUCCCUGGUUUUUUCCCUGACCUGAUCUGACCUUCCAUCAGUCAGUCAGAAGUGUGAAGCGCGACAGUGUGUCGGAAGAGAGCAGACUGCACAGCAACAAAAAGUGAGGGAUUUUGCCAAGGGUUAUGACAGGAAUAAAGCCACGCCAUAUACCAGGGGUUGAGCCCCUCGUUUUUCUCCCAGGGGUGUAACCCUUGGCAAAAUGUUUGCGACGAGCGCUUUUGCCAUUGCUUCCGCCCCUGGGAAAUUCCCUCACAAACGUCCCUUUUCCCAGGGAUUCUGACCUUUUGACAAGGGUUUUGCCCCUGGCAAAAGGUAAUGUUUCUUGUAGUGAUUCAAUUCUAUGCAUUAAAAAAUGUUCCCUUUCUAGUAAGUACUUAAUUGAUAUUGUGUUUAACCUAACUUCUUUUUAAAAAUGUAGAGAAGUAAAAAAAAAAACCGGGUCAAACGGUAUCUUAAUCUCCCACAAUGGCAGUGUAGAAGCAACUGAAUUUGGGAGAAAAAAAUUGGAAAAUUGUGAAAAGUAUUUAAAAAUAUAAAAAUUGGAAAAUAGUUAAAAAAAAUCGGCGAGGUAGCACUCAACCAAGCAACACUAAAAAAAAUUAUAUGCAUCAGCGUAACAAAAACACAGGCAGACGGACAUAAAAUAUUACUCUAAACGUUAAUGUGUGUGUGUGUAAAUAUUUGCGAGGUUAAAGAAAGGAAAUAAUAGUAUUUGAUAUCAUUAAAUGACAGUGUGAAUAAAAAUAUUUGUGAGGUUGCGAUGAUUAAACAAUAUUGAAAUUAAAAUAAUUGAUAGUGUGUUUGACCUAACUUCUCCUUAAAAAUGUAGAGAAGUUGGAAAAAAGUAGGAUCAAGCGAUACCUUACUCUCCCACAACGGCAAUUUAGAAGCAACUGAAUUUGGGUUAAAAAAUUGAAAAAUAGUUAAAAAAAAAUAAAAAUUAUAAAGUUAUUAAUAAUAUAAAAAUUAUAAAAUAAUUAAAAAAAAUGGUGAAGGGUAAAAUGGAAAAUGCACCCUAAAAUGAUGAGGUGGCAUUAACCACACCCCAUCAAUAGGAAAUUACUAAAAUACCCCUCCAAGGGACAAAAUGGUAAAAUCCUAGGGAUAGUAAGUAGAUUGUAUUGACGGGUUACUUGUCCACUUUGACAUUAGUCGUUUAUUUUCAUUUGUUCAUCAUGAUGUACCACCGGCAGUUUUUUCGACACUUUCUUCUAAAAACUCAUCAACUGUUUUUCACCUAACAACAACCUCAACAUUUUUUUUUUUUGAAGGAACAACAACCUCAAACAUAGACCCUUGUGCAUUCAUCAAUCUAUUAAUCCAUCAACAUUCUUGUGACUCCUUAGGUGACAUGUGAUAAUUAUGGUUCAUUGAAUCAUGCAGCGACGAUGACACUUUGUGCCAAAUGUUGAUUGGGUCACUUACCACUCUAAAGAAAAAAUAAGACAUUUAGAAUUUGUUUGAGAGUUUAAAGGGGAGGAGAAGGAAAGGUUUUGUGAGAACAUAAAUAUAUGAAAAAAUUGUGAAAUCUUUUACUUUUUUUAAAAGAAUAUUUUUUUAGCGAGGGAUCAAUUAAUGUUCACGAUUAAUAUAUGUUAAUUUUAAGAAUAUUAUGAAAACAUAUAUUAAAUUUGAAGAAUUCAUAUAAACUCUUCCAAAUCCCCCAAAAUCCUCCCUUAAUAUAAUUUUUUAAUUUUCCCAAAUGAGGAGAUUUUUAUAUUUUGAAGAAAAAUAAGUCUCCCAAAGUCCCUUCCUUUUCUCCAAACCCUCCCUUCCAUUCUCCUCCAAACUCGCAAACAAAACCUUAGUGACUGAUGGAGAGGGCGGAAAGCAUGGGCUCUAACCCCCCCUUCUAUCCCACCCUAUUAUAUAUAUGUUUAUAUACAUAUGUUUUCUUUAAUUAAAUCUCUUAUAAGAGCAUCCACAUCCAUGUCAUUCAUAUGGGUGGUAUAAAUGGACCCACUUAAUAUAUUAUAUUAUUUCACAUUUUCUAAUUACAAGUGUGUUAAUCCGUGCAAUGCACGUGUGAUAGACUAUUAUUUUUCAAUCUCAAAUUAUUUUAUUUUAUUUAUUUAUUGAUGAAAAGUAUCUACGCAGCGUGAAUAUUUAAAUAUGUCAGUAUAGAUUUGUUAAAAAUAAUAUGUUAAUAUUUUUUUUGCCGCAAUGAUGACAAAUAUGUGUCACAGGUUUUUAUGUUUAUCAGUGGUAAAUAUAUGUCCCGUGUUUUUAUGUAUAAAUGAAAAAUAUAUUUAUGAGUUUCAGAUCGUCGUCGAUGAAGCGCCGCAGCGGCUAUCCUUUCAGAGUCUUGGUGUGUGUUGAUUCUAUUGUGGUCACUGGUUUUGUUUAACAUCGUCGUUGUAUUGUAGAGCUAUGGUGUUGACGCGAUUAUGAGUUAGUCUCGGUCUUCUUUUUGCUAUUUUUUCAUUUUUUUAUUGGUGUUUGUUUUCGUUUUGUUUUGUGGAAAUGAAGAUGAGUGGUGAAUUUGUUUCGGCUCUGUGAUUUUGUCUAAAAAUCUUGAAUCUGGUUUUCUGGAUUUGAAGAUAUGGGUUUUUUUAGUUCUGGCAUUGUUUUGUUGGAUGCAUAUCUCGAUUCAACAUGACUGGUUUUAUCAUAAUGUUCUUUGAAACGGCUAGGUGUGUAGAUGCUCUGUGUUGACGGUAGUAUCGUUAAUCAUUCCUAAAAUAUUUUAUCCGUCGUGGUUGCUUCUUGCAUCAUUGGUGGACAGUGGUAGAUUAAUGUCGUUUGUUCAUCCCUUGAUCUGGACUGCGCCUGAAGUUUCAAGACCACUGCGAUUUUGUGGAUUCGGUUCGUAAUUGGUUGCUUUGAAUCGAAACGGUGUUUAUGGUCUUCUGAUACUUGAAGAUAGUUGUUGGAACUUGGGUCAAUUCUGUGUUGGCAGAUGAUCGUUGGAUUAUUGCACCCCUACGUGGGUUCGCUGGAUUGCACGUGAUAAUGGUUGUUUAGGACUGUUAUCUCUUAUUACCCUUUUUGUAUUAAAUUAUUGGGUUUUGCUUUUGUGGUUUACUAGGUCAGGUAGUUGGCCCGCAACCCAAGUCAUGUAUUUCCUUCUCUUGAUAAAAACUUGUCCCAUAUUUUUUUUAUUUAUCAAUGACAAACAUAUAGUUUUAUUGAAAAAUAAUAGUCUCUGGUUUAUUUCAAAGAUAUUUAUUAUUAUUGCAGAAUGUUUUCCCUCAAUUUUUUUUCUUAUGUUUAUCCGUGAUAAUAUAUAUCUCAUAUUUUUUAGUUUUUUAUUUUGACAAAAAAAACAUUCAUAUGCAAGAAGCAAUGUAGUCAUUUGAGAUUGUAAUUUUUCAAUCAAUGCAAAAUAUAUCUUAUAAAUAAAUAAAAGAAAAAUCUAUUUUUACAGAUUUAAUAAAUUAUAAUUCUAGUUUUUUAAUUUUGAAAUUAUGUUAUUUUAUAUAAUUAUUUAUUUAGAUUAUUUUUUAAAAUUUUGUUGUUAAAGAUUUUUAUUUGAUUGUUGGUUAUACUUUAGUAUGUCAUAAAUGGUGUCAUUAAAAAAACGUUUGUCCUAAAUGGUGUAAUUGGAUUAUGACUUUUAUGAUUCAAUCUUACAUUGCCACAUGUAACUUUUCUUUUAAAUUUUAUUUUGAGAUGCCAUGUGUAUUGUUCAUUUUAAACAUUCUCAAAUGUUUGUAUAGAGGAUUUAAACCACUCAACUAUACUUUCAAAAUAUUCAUACCAUCUAUCCAAAACUCUAAAAUGGAUCCCACAAAUUUCACAAUAUACUCAAACUUUAUAUUUUACCAGCGAAAAUACGGGCACUCAUGUGUCAUCUUUCCGCUAUUUUUAUUGCUCUAACGUUUGAAAAUUGUGAACGGUGUCUUUUUUCUGAAAUUUUAAUUUUGAAUAAAACUAAAAAUAUAAAUGUUUGUUGCUUACAAGUUAUAACAAACCAAACAAAACAUGAUUAUCUAUUUCAAUGACACCAACAAUAUAACAAAAAAAUAUAUUUUAAAUUCUUAUUUUAUUUAAUGAUACCAACAACAAUCUUUAUUAUAUAUAAAAAGUUGUUUAACACUAUAAGGGUUAAUAGUGUUUUUCACCCCUGUAAUAUAUGUCAUUUCUGGUUUGAUUUGCACCCUCGUAAUUUUUUUUUCUUCCGGAAAACACCCCUCUAAUAGGCCCAUUUUCAAAAUAUUUUUCAAGAAAUUUUGGUUUUUUGAAUGACCUAUUAAGGUUUGAUUUUGGUUUUUAUAGAGGCGAAAACCGAAAAUGACAUAUAUUACAGGGGUGAAAAACACUAUUAACCCAAACUAUAAUUGAGAUAAUGAAAAAGCAAGUGUAUAUAUAUAUAUAUAUAUAUAUGUAUAUAUAUAUAUAUAUAUAUAUAUAUAUAUAUAUAUAUAUAUAUAUACUCAUCUUGUUUGUUACUCUUUUUAAAUGAUAAUGAAAAAGCAAUGAUUUGGUUGCUAGUUGGAUCCUUAAUUUUGUUUGUUGUAAGAUCUAUCAUAAUAUUUUCUAUGCUCAAACUGCAACAUAAAUCUGAUUCUAUUUAAAGGAUUAAUUUUCUGAAUCAAAUGUUCUUUUAAUAUACAAAUUGAAACAAUCAAUCUCUGCCCCUGAAACAUGAACCCAUGUUUGUUUCUCUUUACUUCACUUAACUCAAUUCUCUAUUGGAUGAACUCAAUUACAUUACUCAAGUCAACUCAUGUACAUGUGAUAACGCUAAAAGCAUUCUUGAUCAACAUAAACAAGAUCAUGCCAUGGAUUUCUGAUGACUACUUGUCAACACUAUAUUUGUGUCUGUUUGAUAACUUUUAAAGAGAAAAAGUCUGUUGUACAUGGUCAAUUCAGCUCAGAACAAGUUUUUGAGGUUUUUGUGAAAAGAUGGAAAUAUUUCUAAGAGUAAAAUAGUAAUUCUGCUUAACUUUACAUAUGAAACUUGAGAUAGGAAGUUGUGAGUUAUGAUUUAGGAAUUAACGUUCAGAACUAACUUCUGUGGUUAUUCAAUUGGUUUAAGAGAUUAAAUUGUUAUAACUUAGGAAAGAGUUUUGUGUCAAGAGAUAGAUGAAAAUUAAUUAGUCAAUUUGUCUUAGAUAACGAAUAAUUAUUGAGAGUAAAGGGAGGUAAACGAUUCAUAUAAAGCAAUAGCGGAUUCACCGGCUUAAUCAUUCAUCUCCAAAUAAUUUUCCAAACAAAUUUUAUCUUUUCGUUACUUACUUUUUAUGCACCCAAAAACCUACUUCCUAGGGCAACAAAAUAACCUUUACACAUCCUAACUAAUAAGAUCAUUGUUGAAAUUUUGAGAUUAACACAGUCCUCGUAGAAACGAACUUAUUUUUAUUACUUCGAUAGUUUUAGUAUACUUGCUAAAAGAUUUAUCAAUUUCCUUCAUGAUAGUUUUUCAUAUAUUCACAAUUGAAUCCCUCUGAUGGAUUUAUAUUCUUCAUAUUAACAUAUCUAUAAUCUAGUUCGUCAAGAAGAAAAACAAUAAGAUUCAUGGAAAGCGCCAAGGUCCUUUCUGUGAACAUUAAAAAUGGUCAAAUCCUUGCAACUUAUUAUCAAUCCAUGGCUUCCAAAAUAAGCCAUAAAAGAAAUCAGGACCACCAUCCUCUACUUUAGCUAACCUUGAUAAUCAAGUGUCAAGUGCACAAUGGAUUCUUUUAUUUAAUGUCGAUUUUGCAUCAAAUAAUCUUGACAAGGAUCACUAUUGUGAAUAAUCCAUCAAGUUGUUGUUAUGGUUUUAAGCUUUGUAAUCAAUUUGACCUUCAACAUUCAUGUGAAGGUUUUAUGUGUCCGUUUCAAUUUUAUUGUUAGAAAUUUUUUAAAAAUUAAUUCAAAUAAAGAUUUUGUUAAGUUUGUCCACGUCCAAAACAGUCAUGUCUACCCUUUUCUCCAAGAACAUAUUAUUAUUCAUCUCAUUAUUUUGAAUUAAUUCAUUUUAAUCUUUGGGUCCAUUCUCUAUACCAUCCAAACAUGGAUUAGGAUAUUUUCUAACUACGAAUUGAAUGACGCAUCUACUACAUUACCAGCUCAAUCUAAUAUAUUUUUUUGAAGAUCUUGGUAUAUAAUCAAAAUGAUGCGAUUAUGAUUAUUUCCACUUCCAAUUCUCAUGAUGAUGCCUCACCCAAUUCCCAUCAUGUUAUUUACAGAGGUGGGCAUGGUUCAGUUCGAAACGAAAACUGAAUCGAACUAAACUGAACUGUUUGCUAAAUUUAAAAUAAUUGAACUGAACUGAAAUGUUUGUAUUUUGAACUGAACUGAACUGUUUCAAACCGAACUGAACUGCUAUGAACUGAACUGUUAUUAUUGAUACCUUUGAAAAAUAUAUGAACAAAAAAUCAAAAUCAAAUUUUAGUUAUUGAACUGAACUGAACUGUUUCGAACUGAAUUGAACUGUUUCGAAUCGAACUGAACUGUUUUGAAAAGAACUGAACUGUUUCAGUUCAGUUUCAGAACUGUUAGUAAUGAUUCAGUUUUUUUUUUUUUUUUGGUUCAGUUCAUUUCAGCAAUUCAGUUCGGUUUUUGAUCUUUUUGCCAACCCGGCCCUUAGUUAUUUAGAUGUUUCAUCGAAACAAGAUCCAAAUAUCUAUCUCUCAAUACUCGCACCAAAACCCCUUUAAAAACAAACAAACCCACCAAAAUCCCUAUAACAACACCUCACAUUCUCUUCCACAAUUGAGCCUAAAUAAACACAAGAAAAUCACUUAUUCAAACAUUCAUUCAACUGCUUCCACCACCAAUCGACCCCGAUCUGCCAUACACCAAACAAAGCCAAAAACUAGAGUCUAGAACUUGACUUCCGAUCUCGAAGCAAAAGCGAUCGACCAACCAAACUUCAUAAACAAAUAACUAAGGCACCCCUCAAAAACUCUCAACCUACUGGAGAAUACACCAUAAUCAGCCCAAAAAAAAUGAAACUAGACACUAAUUCCUAAUCUCGAAGCAAUAGUGAUCAGCCCAUGAGAAUUCCGAAGACAAAUCGCCCAGGCAGUCGACAUGUGGGGAGGUAGUGCAAACAAAACAGCUCGUAAAAGGGCCCAGCUCGAAGACAACCCAAAAUAAAAAACAACUCAAACUUAACCACAAGCCAAUCAAAAACAACACAACAAUGAAAACAGCUAGCGACGACAGAAAUGGACCCAGAUUGAAGUUCACCACAGAUAUAUAGCAGAAAAAAAAAUGAAUAUUUAUCUUAAAUUCGAUCUGGGUAGAUAGUCAUAUUCCCUUAAAGAUGACUAAUUAAGGGAAUCUUACUCGUCACCUUUAAUUUGAACUCAUCUUCCAACCACACUUUUUCCGUUUACAAAAUUUUGCUUAAGAGAUUUGAAUCUAUUCCUCUCCAACCGAUAAAAAGUUUGUAUACCUAAAUGUCAAUUUGUAAUAGAUGCAAACUUAAAAUUAUUAUUAUUUGAUGAAAGACGUAUUAUUAUUAAGUUUCAGCUGUUGUUUAUUAUUUUUUAUAAUAGAAAAGAUUAUGUUGGUUAGGUUCUGAAGGCUCUUAAAGUUCGAAAACAGUUUACAAAACUAGUUGUGUCAUAAUCAAUUACAAGAUCCUCACAUCUUUAGCGGAGUUCGAAAUCAAGUCUAUUUAGAAUUUGAGAUGAUUCUUUAUCAACCGUAAUAACGGUAAUUAAAAUAUGAUGUAAGAGCAUCCACUAAAAAGUUUUAGUAGGCACAUAAAAUAAACCACUGAUAAAGAACAUGUUUUAUUCAUGAGGGUGUACACAAGUCAGCUGCUAGGUCUUAUCCACACUAUAAACAAACAAGAAAGUUACAAUACAACACAACUAAGUUGUGAUGACCAUAAUAGUAGCUAACAGCAACAAUGCGUAUCCCAUUUAUGUUUGCUUUCAUCAACAACCUCAACUCUUUCAAGGAAGAGUGUAAGCUGCAAAAUCAGAAUUUUACAAGAGUAGUUAGUAUAUUGAUCCAUCAAGAAAGUUGACAAAUAGAAGAGAAGAAAAAAACAUAAAAAUUCCUAGUAUCAUACCGUUUCACAUUUUUAACAAUAAAGUUUCGUCGUUUUUUAAGUUAUUCAUUUUUUUUCCUAUAAUACUGUUAAUUAUCUAUAAUCUCAUUUCACACGUCAAUAAUUAAUGUUACAUUGAACUUUGAAAAAGAGAAAUAAAUAUAAACGAAAUCAUUUAUACGACGACAAUUCAGAAGAAACUAAUGGAAUUGUUAGUUACUUACGUCCGCACUUAUAACCAACGGGGCGAUUAGCAAAGUUGCAGCGUUUAGGGAUAGUAACAGCAAUUUGAGGAUUAACACCAGACAUUUUAGCAACGUUUGAGAGCAAAACAGCACAAAGACAACUUGGAUUCUGACCAAGUUUCUUAGUCUGAGCACAACAAGUUUGUGAGACACUAGCAUUUUCAUCUUGUGCUGCACUUGCACAAGGAGCUAGCUUAAAUGCUUCCAUAUCUGGUGUAGUACCUCUUCCACAUUCACCAGCACUUUCAACACUAUGAAUACCUGCAACAAGGACUACAAAACCAACAAGGCACAGCAUCUUCAUAAGACCCUCCAUUUUUUCUUCUUCUUAAUAUAUAUCUUAGAUAAUUAAUUAGUUCUAUGCAACAAUGCAAUGCAUUUGAUGGGGUUUUAUAGGACUAAAAAUGUGCUUGGUCGAGUCAUCCACCUUAGAUUAAUGGACCUUGCACUAGUACAAAUUGGUAAGUUUCUUCGCAUAUCUUAUUG